GGUCUAAUAGUGUAGAGGUUAUCACACGGGAUUUUGAUUUCUGUGGUAUUUCCCGUAACCCAGGUUCGAGUCCUGGUUAGACCU